rnacentral:rRNA from 1 species
UACGAAGGGGGCUAGCGUUGUUCGGAAUCACUGGGCGUAAAGCGCACGUAGGCGGACAUUUAAGUCAGGGGUGAAAUCCCGAGGCUCAACCUCGGAACUGCCUUUGAUACUGGGUGUCUUGAGUAUGGUAGAGGUUGGUGGAACUGCGAGUGUAGAGGUGAAAUUCGUAGAUAUUCGCAAGAACACCAGUGGCGAAGGCGGCUCACUGGCCCGAUACUGACGCUGAGGUGCGAAAGCGUGGGGAGCAAACAGG